AAACAUGAGUUAUAACAUUAAACACAAACAAAUAUAAGUCUCAAAUAUAUAAAAGUACUAUUAUGUUUAACAUUGUGUUUCGUUUCAAGAAAGCAACAUAUUAUGGUUUACUAUAGCCUAAAACAAAAAUCAAAGGAUUUUGUGACUGAUCCCCAAUCAGCUGAUCAUCAGAAAGAUGUAUUUCUCCAACUGUAUCAACAUCAUCUUUAGAGACAGGAUCAUGUGCAGAGACAAUAUCAGUCUUAUCUGUAGCUGGAGGAUCUGUAGGAGGAGUGGGUCUGAUGCGUAAAUGCUGAUGAAUCUCUAUGAUCAUAUGUGAUUGUUGAGCAAGAACUCCAAUUGCUGCAUCACCAACCUCUCUAGUGCAGUGUGUUGCUCUGCAAAAGACUGAACUGUAUCUCUGGAAGUCCCUGCACGCGCAAACGCUAUAAAAUGCAAAGGAUAAUUGGACUGAGAUAAAUAUGAUGUCGCCU
rnacentral:lncRNA from 1 species